rnacentral:rRNA from 2 species
GAACGAUGAAACUUUACUGACUUCUUCGGAAAGAUUUAAAGCGGAUUAGUGGCGGACGGGUGAGUAACACGUGAGUAACCUGCCUUACACAAGGGGAUAGCCGUUGGAAACGACGAAUAAUACCCUAUGAAACUAUCACUUCGCAUGAAGCGAUAGUCAAAGUGUUAGCGGUGUAAGAUGGACUUGCGUCUGAUUAGCUAGUUGGUGAGAAAAAAGCCCACCAAGGCAACGAUCAGUAGCCGGUUUGAGAGAGUGUACGGCCACAUUGGGACUGAGACACGGCCCAGACUCCUACGGGAGGCAGCAGUGGGGAAUUUUGCACAAUGGGGGAAACCCUGAUGCAGCGACGCCGCGUGAUUUAGAAGGCCUUCGGGUUGUAAAAAUCUUUUGUAUAGGAAGAAAAUGACAGUACUAUACGAAUAAGGUCCGGCUAAUUACGUGCCAGCAGCCGCGGUAAUACGUAAGGACCGAGCGUUGUCCGGAAUCAUUGGGCGUAAAGGGUACGUAGGCGGGUCAUUAAGUUAGAAGUCAAAGGCUAUAGCUCAACUAUAGUAAGCUUCUAAAACUGGAGACCUUGAGUAAUGGAAGGGAAAGUGGAAUUCCUAGUGUAGCGGUGGAAUGCGCAGAUAUUAGGAGGAAUACCGGUGGCGAAGGCGACUUUCUG